CUGGCUCAGGAUGAACGCUGGCGGCGUGCUUAACACAUGCAAGUCGAACGCAGUCUUCGGACUGAGUGGCGGACGGGUGAGUAACGCGUGAGAAUCUACCUUCAGGAUGGGGACAACCGUUGGAAACGACGGCUAAUCCCCAAUGCGCCGAAAGGUAAAAAGGGUUUCCGCCUGAAGAGGAGCUCGCGUCCGAUUAGUUAGUUGGUGGGGUAAGAGCCUACCAAGGCAUCGAUCGGUAGCUGGUCUGAGAGGAUGAGCAGCCACACUGGGACUGAGACACGGCCCAGACUCCUACGGGAGGCAGCAGUGGGGAAUUUUCCGCAAUGGGCGAAAGCCUGACGGAGCAACGCCGCGUGUGGGAAGAAGGCUUUUGGGCUGUCAACCACUUUUCUCAAGGAAGAAGUUCUGACGGUACUUGAGGAAUCAGCCUCGGCUAACUCCGUGCCAGCAGCCGCGGUAAUACGGAGGAGGCAAGCGUUAUCCGGAAUUAUUGGGCGUAAAGCGUCCGCAGGGGGCGCAUCAAGUCUGCUGUUAAAGGUCGGAGCUUAACUCCGGUGAGGCAGUGGAAACUGGUGCGCUAGAGGGCGACAGGGGUAGAGGGAAUUCCCAGUGUAGCGGUGAAAUGCGUAGAGAUUGGGAAGAACACCGGUGGCGAAAGCGCUCUACUGGGUCGCACCUGACCCUCAGGGACGAAAGCUAAGGUAGCGAAAGGGAUUAGAUACCCCUGUAGUCUUAGCCGUAAACGAUGGAUACUAGGCGUGGUUUGUAUCGACCCAAGCCGUGCCGAAGCUAACGCGUUAAGUAUCCCGCCUGGGGAGUACGCACGCAAGUGUGAAACUCAAAGGAAUUUGACGGGGGCCCCGUACAAGCGGUGGAGGAUGUGGUUUAAUUCGAUGCAACGCGAAGA
rnacentral:rRNA from 1 species